rnacentral:rRNA from 1 species
UGCUAUUAGAUGAGCCUAUAUUAGAUUAGCUAGUUGGUGGAGUAAUAGCCUACCAAGGCAAUGAUCUAUAGCUGAUCUGAGAGGAUGAUCAGCCACACUGGAACUGAGAUACGGUCCAGACUUCUACGGGAGGCAGCAGUGGGGAAUAUUGGACAAUGGGCGAAAGCCUGAUCCAGCCAUGUCGCAUGAGUGAAGAAGGCCUUUGGGUUGUAAAGCUCUUUUAGUGAGGAAGAUAAUGACGGUACUCACAGAAGAAGUCCUGGCUAACUCCGUGCCAGCAGCCGCGGUAAUACGGAGAGGGCUAGCGUUAUUCGGAAUUAUUGGGCGUAAAGGGCGCGUAGGCUGAUUAAUAAGUUAAAAGUGAAAUCCCGAGGCUUAACCUUGGAAUUGCUUUUAAAACUAUUAAUCUAGAGAUUGAAAGGGGAUAGAGGAAUUCCUGAUGUAGAGGUAAAAUUCGUAAAUAUUAGGAGGAACACCAGUGGCGAAGGCAUCUAUCUGGUUCAAAUCUGACGCUGAGGCGCGAAGGCGUGGGGAGCAAACAGGAUUAGAUACCCUGGUAGUCCACGCUGUAAACGAUGAAUGUUAAAUAUGGGAAGUUU